UACGUAGGGGGCAAGCGUUAUCCGGAUUUACUGGGUGUAAAGGGAGCGUAGACAGCGAUGCAAGCCAGAUGUGAAAGCCCGGGGCUCAACCCCGGGACUGCAUUUGGACCUGUAUAGCUAGAGUGUCGGAGAGGCAGGCGGAAUUCCUAGUGUAGCGGUGAAAUGCGUAGAUAUUAGGAGGAACACCAGUGGCGAAGGCGGCCUGCUGGACGAUGACUGACGUUGAGGCUCGAAAGCGUGGGGAGCAAACAGG
rnacentral:rRNA from 1 species